rnacentral:rRNA from 1 species
UCUAUUGGCCGUCCGAGUUGUAGUCUGGAGAAGCGUUUUCUACCUCGGACCGUGUACAAGUCCCUUGGAACAGGGCGUCGCAGAGGGUGAGAAUCCCGUCUUUGACACGGACUGCCGAUGGUUAUACGAUGCGCUCUCAAAGAGUCGAGUUGUUUGGGAAUGCAGCUCAAAACGGGUGGUAAAUUCCAUCUAAAGCUAAAUAUUGGCGAAAGACCGAUAGCGAACAAGUACCGUGAGGGAAAGAUGAAAAGCACUUUGGAAAGAGAGUUAAACAGUACGUGAAAUUGUUGAAAGGGAAACGCUUGAAGUCAGUCGCGUCUUCCGGGACUCAGCCCUUGCUUUUUUUAGCUGGGUGUAUUUCCUGGGACGACGGGCCAGCGUCGAUUUCGACCGUCGGAGAAAGGCCUUGGGAACGUGGCACCUGUUUUUGGGUGUGUUAUAGCCCUCGGUCGCAUGCGACGGUUGGGAUCGAGGAUCGCAGCACGCCUUUUUGGCCGGGGUUCGCCCACGUAACGUGCUUAGGAUGCUGGCGUAAUGGCUUUAAGCGACCCGUCUUGAAACACGGACCAAGGAGUCUAACAUGCCUGCGAGUGUUUGGGUGCGAAACCCGGACGCGCAAUGAAAG